rnacentral:rRNA from 1 species
UACGUAGGUGGCAAGCGUUUGUCCGGAUUUACUGGGCGUAAAGAGCGCGCAGGCGGUCGUUUUAAGUCGAAUGUGAAAGCCCCCCGGCUCAACUGGGGAGGGUCACGCGAUACUGAUCGACUCGAAGGCAGGAGAGGGUAGUGGAAUUCCCGGUGUAGUGGUGAAAUGCGUAGAUAUCGGGAGGAACACCAGUGGCGAAGGCGACUACCUGGCCUGUUUCUUGACGCUGAGGCGCGAAAGCUAGGGGAGCAAACGGG